UGAGGCUGCUGUCACAGUGGUGCUCAAUGGGGUUGACAGAUUAUAUCUCUAAAGUCCCUUUAUUGGACCUUGUUCCCAGAAAAGCUUGCAAAUUGCUCUGAUCUUACCAGACAAAGGCGUUGCUCACUCUCGGAGUCCUUGGAUAUCGUACACAAUAAGGUAGGAAUUGGUGAGAAUUACCUGAGAUAAAAUAUCCCUUACAACAUCAAAGUUCCUGAUCUCUUAGCUGUCAGCUGCAGGUAUGUGAAAGUCCUGACAGGCUGAAGAUGGAAGGAAGAGAUAAAGCAGAAAAAGAAGGGAGGGGGAAUGGAGAAAUUCUCGGCAUGAAACGUUAUAUCAUUGGAUUUGGCACAAAGAUGUCAGCUCGGGGGGUCUGUACGGGCAGCUGGGGUGUGAGCAGGGCACUGGGCUUUCACCUGAGAUGAAUCAACAGCAGCUGAUACCAGGCAGGCAGGGACAGAUCCUGAUCCUUGGCACACCAGGGGACAGGGAGGUGGACUUCAGCAGUCUUUGUGAGUCCCUUCUAACUCACGAUAUUCUGUGAUAAAUGAAGCAGGAGUAACAGAGAUAGGAUAAAUCAUGCUCAUGCAUCCCCCACGUUUUCCCCAUCCCUCUACACUCAGCUGUUGGUUGUCUUUUGCCAGUAAAAUGGGUGAAGUGGGUCAGUUACCAGGAGGAAUUGCUGGAAUCACAGGACAUCGUCCUUUUGCCAUCUUUGCCCAGCACAUUUUAUAACAAUUGACCUCCUUGAGCUGUCACAGGAGCGUGGCAGGAGAGCUGGGGUCAGACUCCACCUGAUGCUGCCCAGCCUGCACCAUGAACCUCCCUGCAAAAUCCAGCUCACUGCAGCAAAGGCACAGCACUGCUCUUCUCUUGGUGUGAAUGUACCUCCUCAGGUGAAACCCUGCCUUGAACUUGACUGCCCAGAUUCCAGAAGAAGGCAAAGGAAUCCCAGGAGAGGAGGAGAUGAGCAUUUCCUAAACCAGACUAACAGCACAUCUGCCCUGCAAACUCAGCUUAGGCACAGAUUCCUUUUCCUACCUAGAGAGUGACUUUUCACCCAAAGCUGCUGGUGCUUUGGACCAUUUGAUUUGGCCAUCACAGCAUCGUGGGCACGCUCCAGGCUUUUGCCUUCCCUUGGGCUGGAAACAAAUCCAUUUCAAAGAAACCUGAACCACAGGUGGGACCCUUCUGUGCCUGCCUGCCAUCCAUCCUCCCUUCUCCCUCCUGCCUCUUUCCUUCACAUCUCUUUAAGGAGAUUUUGUUGGAGAUCUUCCAUGCAAAAACCGAGGUGACACACAGCUUUGGAAGCACUGGUGACCUGCAUCCACACAAGGAUUUCUGCUUCUUUAACCAAACUGCUCCUGGACCAUGUGUGUGCUCACUUCCUACACCAUGCAGGGUCUCUGGGUAACCUCAAGGACGUGACACCUCCGUAGAGAAUGGAGAACAAGCCUUGGCGUUACCUUUCUGGAGACACUGCUGAUGUGAGCAAUAAAAAGCUGGCACAGAGCACCAACAUCCUGGGCACAUGGUUUGACACUACACUUUGGUGAGUAAAAGGUGGAACUGUUGCCUGGCAUGAGCAGCAGGACAUUCAGCAGAGUGGGAGUCGCCUGAUGUGACCAAGGACAAGAUAGUGCAGCAGCUGAUGUGACCCUGGGCACAGCUUUCUGCUCUCUCCAGUCAGCACCACUUCUGUCUGUGUCCAUGAACAGACAGACCCACAGCUGCUCAGAAAGUCAAGGAAACCCAACUCAUUUGGCCCCUCCAGGUAAUUCCCUGGAGGCAGAACUGCACUGUAUAAACCAUCACGGCCAUAGACAUCAGCUUCAAAAUCAAAAGGUUUUCAUUCUUUCACUGGAUUUUACAGGAUCUGAAGAAAAAUGUGUGAGGAAAGAUGGAGGGUCAGAGAGCAGAGAUUGUCAGUGGAUCUGCCAUGGGGUAACCCAGAGAGCUGCUGACACUGGCUGAACCUGUGCUGGCUCUGUGAGGGUUUUUACCAAAAACCUCAGUGGGAAUUGUAUCUGCAGCCUGUGAGCUUAGCAGGUCUAGACCUACAGACCUUUCUCAGUGUGUUGAUUUUCCACUGCAGCCAGACAGUGCACAUCACAAACCACCCUUCCAAACCCCAACAUAAUUCUUAUUUUCCUGAUAACCCAGAUAAAGUUUUGACUCUUACAAGGGAGUCAUACACUGGGGGAUUUCAAAAAUGCCUUGUCACAAGAUGCACAGCUCUGCAAAGUAUCCAUUCUGAAGCAGUUCUGCCAAAUACCAAGAAAAAAUUGCAUAACAUGAGAAGGAGCAAACCACAGCUGAAGCUUCAUCAUCCACAGUGGCAGCUGAGUGUGGACGUCACGAGUUCUUCCAUACCCGAUGGCAUAGUUUCCAUUUUCUUUGGACUGUAGGAGUGAAAGAAUAAACAUUUCAAAAGGUUCAAAUGAGACCUUUGAGUGCCAGUGCUGAGUCCCUGUGAGGUUGGGAUAAACUGACAAAAUAACAUCCUGCAGAAGCUGUGCCUGGGACAAACCACCAUUCCUGUGUUCGUGUUCUGUGGUUUGUAGCACAGGGGCCACUUUAAACCUUGGUCUCUGUCCAGGCACCAGUACCAGCUCUCCCAUGACUUUAUGUUUGCAUCUCUUUCUUCUUCAUGAAGGGAAAAAUUCCAGGUUUGUUCCUUUUAACUUUGUUCAUGGUAGCACUCUUGACAGAAGGACUUAGGGCCUAUUUAAUGUCUUUGCAAGGAAGAGAAACUUCUCGGUUACAUAAAAGUUUGUAUCAAAA